rfam:Dipodomys ordii contig_40187, whole genome shotgun sequence.
GUAGCUCAGUGGUAGAGUGCUUGCCUUGCAUGCAUGAGGCCCUGGGUUCAAUUCUUCAGC